rnacentral:rRNA from 1 species
AGUGAACGCUGGCGGUAGGCCUAACACAUGCAAGUCGAACGGCAGCACAGUAAGAGCUUGCUCUUACGGGUGGCGAGUGGCGGACGGGUGAGGAAUACAUCUGAAUCUACUUUUUCGUGGGGGAUAACGUAGGGAAACUUACGCUAAUACCGCAUACGACCUACGGGUGAAAGCAGGGGAUCUUCGGACCUUGCGCGAUUGAAUGAGCCGGUGUCGGAUUAGCUAGUUGGCGGGGUCAAGGCCCACCAAGGCAACGAUCCGUAACUGGGCUGAUUGUAUGGACAGCCACACUGGCACUGUGACACGGUCCAGACUCCUACGGGAGGCAGCAGUGGGGAAUCUUCGACAAUGUGAGCAAGCCUGAUCCAACCAUACCGCGUAGGUGAAGAAGGCCUUCGGGUUGUAAAGCCCUUUUGUUGGGAAAGAAAAGCAGCAGGUUAAUACCCCGCUGUUCUGACGGUACCCUAAGAAUAAGCACCGGCUAACUUCGUG